rnacentral:rRNA from 1 species
GACGAACGCUGGCGGCGUGCUUAACACAUGCAAGUUGAACGUGAUUUUAUAGACAGAUUUCUUCGGAAUGACGAUUAUAAAUGAAAGUAGCGAACGGGUGAGUAACACGUGAGAAACCUGCCUUUCACAAAGGGAUAGCCUCGGGAAACCGGGAUUAAUACCUUAUGAUACAUAGAAAUCGCAUGAUAGUUAUGUUAAAGAUUUUAUCGGUGAAAGAUGGUCUCGCGUCUGAUUAGCUAGUUGGUGGGGUAAAGGCCUACCAAGGCGAUGAUCAGUAGCCGGAUUGAGAGGUUGAACGGCCACACUGGAACUGAGACACGGUCCAGACUCCUACGGGAGGCAGCAGUGGGGAAUUUUGCACAAUGGGGGAAACCCUGAUGCAGCGACGCCGCGUGUACGAUGAAGAUCUUCGGAUUGUAAAGUACUGUCCUUGGUGAAGAUAAUGACUGUAACCAAGAAGCAAGCCCUGGCUAAAUACGUGCCAGCAGCCGCGGUAAUACGUAUGGGGCAAGCGUUGUCCGGAAUUAUUGGGCGUAAAGGGUACGUAGGCGGUUAUUUAAGUCUAAAUUAAAAGGCAUUGGCUCAACCAAUGUAAGGUUUAGAUACUGGAUAACUUGAGUAGAUGAGGGGAAAGUGGAAUUCCAUGUGUAGCGGUGAAAUGCGUAGAUAUAUGGAGGAACACCAAUGGCGAAGGCAACUUUCUGGAAUCAAACUGACGCUGAGGUACGAAGGCGUGGGGAGCAAACAGG